rnacentral:rRNA from 1 species
UGGGGAAUAUUGGGCAAUGGGCGAAAGCCUGACCCAGCAACGCCGCGUGAAGGAUGAAGUAUUUCGGUAUGUAAACUUCGAAAGAAUAGGAAGAAUAAAUGACGGCACUAUUUAUAAGCUCCGGCUAACUACGUGCCAGCAGCCGCGGUAAUACGUAGGGAGCAAGCGUUGUUCGGAUUUACUGGGCGUAAAGGGCGCGUAGGCGGCGCGGUAAGUCACUUGUGAAAUCUCUGAGCUUAACUCAGAACGGCCAAGUGAUACUGCAGUGCUAGAGUGCAGAAGGGGCAAUCGGAAUUCUUGGUGUAGCGGUGAAAUGCGUAGAUAUCAAGAGGAACACCUGAGGUGAAGACGGGUUGCUGGGCUGACACUGACGCUGAGGCGCGAAAGCUAGGGGAGCAAACGGGAUUAGAUACCCGCGUAGUCCCUGAGCGGGCUGGCAAGGCGCAU